GGAAGGAUGGCCGAGUGGUUUAAGGCGCUGGUCUUGAAAACCAGUUUAGGGUUUACCCUAACGGGGGUUCAAAUCCCUCUCCUUCCG
rnacentral:tRNA from 6 species